rnacentral:rRNA from 1 species
UACGGAGGGGGCUAGCGUUGUUCGGAAUUACUGGGCGUAAAGCGCGCGUAGGCGGAUCUGCAAGUCGGGGGUGAAAUCCCGAGGCUCAACCUCGGAACUGCCUUCGAUACUGCGGGUCUCGAGUCCGGGAGAGGUGAGUGGAAUUCCUAGUGUAGAGGUGAAAUUCGUAGAUAUUAGGAAGAACACCAGUGGCGAAGGCGGCUCACUGGCCCGGUACUGACGCUCAUGCACGAAAGCGUGGGGAGCAAACAGG